rnacentral:rRNA from 1 species
CGAUACGAGUUUGAUCAUGGCUCAGAACGAACGCUGGCGGCAGGCCUAACACAUGCAAGUCGAGCGCCCGCAAGGGAGCGGCGGACGGGUGAGUAACGCGUGGGAACGUGCCUCUUGCUACGGAAUAGCCUCGGGAAACUGGGAGUAAUACCGUAUGUGCCCUACGGGGGAAAGAUUUAUCGGCAAGAGAUCGGCCCGCGUUGGAUUAGGUAGUUGGUGGGGUAAUGGCCUACCAAGCCGACGAUCCAUAGCUGGUUUGAGAGGAUGAUCAGCCACACUGGGACUGAGACACGGCCCAGACUCCUACGGGAGGCAGCAGUGGGGAAUCUUAGACAAUGGGCGCAAGCCUGAUCUAGCCAUGCCGCGUGAGCGAUGAAGGCCUUAGGGUUGUAAAGCUCUUCAGUGGGGAAGAUAAUGACUGUACCCACAGAAGAAGCCCCGGCUAACUCCGUG